rnacentral:tRNA from 1 species
GGGCGCAUGGUGUAGUUGGUUAUCACAUCCGCUUAGCAUGUUUGCGUUUGCGGGGGGUGCUGGGUUCAAUUCCCAGUGUGUCCA